rnacentral:rRNA from 1 species
AUUUAUUGAGAGUUUGAUCCUGGCUCAGGACGAACGCUGGCGGCGUGCCUAACACAUGCAAGUCGAACGAAGCACUUCUGAAUGGAGAUUCGUCAAAGUUCAGAUUUGACUUAGUGGCGGACGGGUGAGUAAUGCAUGAGCAACCUGCCCUGCAGUGGGGGACAACAGUUGGAAACGACUGCUAAUACCGCAUGAUGUAUCUGGAAGGCAUCUUCCGGAUACCAAAGAUUUAUCGCUGUGGGAUGGGCUCAUGUCUGAUUAGUUAGUUGGUGGGGUAACGGCCUACCAAGACUGCGAUCAGUAGCCGGACUGAGAGGUUGAACGGCCACAUUGGGACUGAGAUACGGCCCAGACUCCUACGGGAGGCAGCAGUGGGGAAUAUUACCCAGCAACGCCGCGUGAAGGAAGAAGGUCUUCGGAUUGUAAACUUCUUUUAUGAGGGACGAAGGAAGUGACGGUACCUCAUGAAUAAGCCACGGCUAACUACGUGCCAGCAGCCGCGGUAAUACGUAGGUGGCAAGCGUUGUCCGGAUUUACUGGGUGUAAAGGGCGCGUAGGCGGGAUGGCAAGUCAGAUGUGAAAUCCAUGGGCUCAACCCAUGAACUGCAUUUGAAACUGUCGUUCUUGAGUAUCGGAGAGGCAAGCGGAAUUCCUAGUGUAGCGGUGAAAUGCGUAGAUAUUAGGAGGAACACCAGUGGCGAAGGCGGCUUGCUGGACGACAA